CUCUCUAGUGAUGAGACUUCCACCGCCCCAGUCUGAUCUCUGUGACUGAGUGGUUCCCUCUGAGCCCAA